UUCAGGGGUAAACCUGAGAAACCCGAAAGAUCGAAUGGGGAGAUUCAGCGUCAGCGAUUUUGGUACGUGUGCGGUUCGGGAUGCCGGUGACUUCGGUCACUCGACACUCGUCUGCAUGUUUAUUAUUGCCUGAAUCGUCGGCGUGCACUUCUCCCCUAGUAGGACGUCGCGACCCGUUGGGUGUCGGUCUACGGCUCGGAUGGUAGCCUGUCUCGCGUGCGUCUCACGACGUUUCGCGGGUCAGACCUCCGAUCGCCCGACCGGCUGCUCGGCGGUACUCGCACGGUAUCUGGCCGCAAAUAUUUGAACUGCGUCCGGCCCGUCGCAAGCGAGGCAAGUGUUCCCGGCUGUACGGAUUUAAUGCCGUCGCCGGGCCUUGACAGCUGUUGGUUGACGGUGUCCUGGGACUGGCCAAAAAAAUUAUGAUACCGGUCGGCGACGCUACUGCUUUGGGUACUUUCAGGACCCGUCUUGAAACACGGACCAAGGAGUCUAACAUGUGCGCGAGUCAUUGGGAACUAUUAAACCUAAAGGCGCAAUGAAAGUGAAGGUCGGCCUUGCGCCGACCGAGGGAGGAUGGGCCGCGUUACGAUGCGGUCUCGCACUCCCGGGGCGUCUCGUUCUCAUUGCGAGAAGAGGCGCACCCAGAGCGUACACGUUGGGACCCGAAAGAUGGUGAACUAUGCCUGGUCAGGACGAAGUCAGGGGAAACCCUGAUGGAGGUCCGUAGCGAUUCUGACGUGCAAAUCGAUCGUCGGAACUGGGUAUAGGGGCGAAAGACUAAUCG
rnacentral:rRNA from 1 species